GAUGAAGAACGUAGCGAAAUGCGAUAAGUAGUGUGAAUUGCAGAAUUCAGUGAAUCAUCGAAUCUUUGAACGCACAUUGCGCCCGCAAGUAUUCUGGCGGGCAUGCCUGUUCGAGCGUCAUUUCAACCCUCAAGCCCAGCUUGGUGUUGGGGAUCGGCACAGGCGCCCUCGGGCGCCCGCCGUCCCCUAAAUCUAGUGGCGGUCCCGCUGCAGCCUCCUCUGCGUAGUAGUUUUCUCCUCGCAAGGGCAGCUCGGUGGCGACCUCGCCGUAAAACCCCCAACUUCUGAAAGGUUGACCUCGAAUCAGGUAGGAAUACCCGCUGAACUUAAGCAUAUCAAUAAGCGGAGGA
rnacentral:misc_RNA from 1 species